AGCGAACGCUGGCGGCAGGCCUAACACAUGCAAGUCGAACGAAGUCUUCGGACUUAGUGGCGGACGGGUGAGUAACACGUGGGAACGUGCCUUUAGGUUCGGAAUAACUCAGGGAAACUUGUGCUAAUACCGAAUGUGCCCUUCGGGGGAAAGAUUUAUCGCCUUUAGAGCGGCCCGCGUCUGAUUAGCUAGUUGGUGCGGUAAAGGCUCACCAAGGCGACGAUCAGUAGCUGGUCUGAGCGGAUGAUCAGCCACAUUGGGACUGAGACACGGCCCAAACUCCUACGGGAGGCAGCAGUGGGGAAUCUUGCGCAAUGGGCGAAAGCCUGACGCAGCCAUGCCGCGUGAAUGAUGAAGGUCUUAGGAUUGUAAAAUUCUUUCACCGGGGACGAUAAUGACGGUACCCGGAGAAGAAGCCCCGGCUAACUUCGUGCCAGCAGCCGCGGUAAGAC
rnacentral:rRNA from 1 species